GAUGAACGCUGGCGGCGUGCCUAAUACAUGCAAGUCGAGCGAACGGACGAGAAGCUUGCUUCUCUGAUGUUAGCGGCGGACGGGUGAGUAACACGUGGAUAACCUACCUAUAAGACUGGGAUAACUUCGGGAAACCGGAGCUAAUACCGGAUAAUAUUUUGAACCGCAUGGUUCAAAAGUGAAAGACGGUCUUGCUGUCACUUAUAGAUGGAUCCGCGCUGCAUUAGCUAGUUGGUAAGGUAACGGCUUACCAAGGCAACGAUGCGUAGCCGACCUGAGAGGGUGAUCGGCCACACUGGAACUGAGACACGGUCCAGACUCCUACGGGAGGCAGCAGUAGGGAAUCUUCCGCAAUGGGCGAAAGCCUGACGGAGCAACGCCGCGUGAGUGAUGAAGGUCUUCGGAUCGUAAAACUCUGUUAUUAGGGAAGAACAUAUGUGUAAGUAACUGUUCACAUCUUGACGGUACCUAAUCAGAAAGCCACGGCUAACUACGUG
rnacentral:rRNA from 1 species